GAGAAUAGCCGUACAAAAAACAUCUGGUAGAGAAAGGAAGGACGUGCACAAACACACAGACACGCGUAUAGUAUGACCAGUAGACCAUGACAAAGGGAUAUACAUGAGGUACAAUUCUAAGGAUGUGUCAAAUAAUAACACAAUGAUACACCUGUUAAAAACAUGGUGUUAGUGUUGUUGAUGCACCAACAGGGGACAGUCACUCUCCAUGUGAAAAAAUAAAGACCAGUACUGAUGAAUGCUCUGCUUAACUGUCUUAAAUAUGUUUCAUCCACCACAAGUAGUAAUACUUUAAUGUACUGUUUCAUAUCCCCCUUGACAUAAAAAAUAUAGCAAUUAAAAAAAUUUAAAAAACAUUUCACCUUUAUUUAACCAGGUAGGCUAGUUGAGAACAAGUUCUCAUUUGCAACUGUGACCUGGCCAAAGCUAGUGAGGGAGAUGGGAAUCUCUAGCUUCAGUGAUUUUAGCAGUUCGUUCCAGUCAGUCGCAGCAGAGAACUGGAAGGAAAGGUGACCAAAAGAGGAAUUGGCUUUGGGGGUGACCAGUGAGAUACACCUGCUGGAGCGCGUGCUACAAGUGGGUGCUGCAAUGAUGACAAGCGAGCUGAGAUAAGACGGGGCUUUACCUAGCAGAGACUUGUAGAUAACCUGUAGCCAGUGAGUUUAGCGAUGAGUAUAAAGCGAGGGCCAGCCAACGAGAGCGUAUAGGUCGCAGUGGUGGGCUUUGGUGACAAAACAGAUGGCACUGUGAUAGACUGCAUCCAAUUUGUUGAGUAGAGUGUUGGAGGCUAUUAUAUAGAUGACAUCGCCAAAGUCGAGGAUCGGUAGGUUGGUCAGUUUUACGUGGGUAUGUUUGGUAGCAUGAGUGAAGGAUGCUUUGUUGCGAAAUAGGAAGCCGAUUCUAGAUGUAAUUUUAGAUUGGAUAUGCUUAAUGUGAGUCUGUAAGGAGAGUUUACAGUCUAGCCAGACAACUAGGUAUUUGUAGUUAUCCACGUAUUCUAAGUCAGAGCCGUCCAGAGUAGUGAUGCUGGAUGGGCGGGCAGGUGCGGGCAAUGAUCGGUUGAAGAGCAUGCAUUUAGUUUUAUUUGUGUUUAAGAGCAGUUGGAGGCCACGGAAGGAGAGUUGUAUGGCAUUGAAGCUUGUCUGGAGGUUAGUUAACCUCUGAGCACGGAACCCGGUUGCGGGCUGAAAUUCCACAACAUACGGUGAUCGCUACAUAAAUAGUCAUAUUAAACAUUCAUGAAAAUACAGGUGUCUCACAUGUAUCGAAAGCCAAGAAUCUUGCUAAUCCAACUGUGUUGUCAGUUUAAAAAAAAGGAUUUAUUGCGAAAGAAUACGAUGCGAUUAUCUGAGGAUAGAGCCCAUAAAAAAUAUAAAAAAUCAACCAGCACAGGAUUUACAAAUUCACAAACUGCAUUAAAAUAAAUAGUGUACCUUUGACGAUCUUCAUCUGUUUGCAAUGCCAAUGCUCAUUGUUACACAGUGAAUGAUCUUUUGUUUGAUAAAAUCAGUUUUUUAUAGCCUAACACGAAACAUUUUGUGAACCGCUUGUGUCGUGUAUUCCGUCUCAUUCCAUUUUCGAUGACAAAUUCCAGGUAAAUACCCACACAGAACGUGACUUUUCCAGUCAUGUUUGGUUUCACUACAAUCAACUGGUUUGUUUGUAACACAAUCAAACCUGAUGAGUCAUUUCGCGGGACGUAUUGACUGAAAUAAAUCGAUUUGAAGACAACAAGUAAUGACAUUGUUGUGCACCAAUGAUUUGCCCGCUGUUUCGUUGAUUGACUGUAUUUUAACCCAAUGACCACUGAUCGUCUUGAAAUCUAGCUGGGUAGAUAGCCAAUGAGCUGAGGUAAAUGCCAAUAUCCAAUGGUUGUGUGUUGGAAGACCAACCCAUGUCGUAAACUCAGGCGUAAAGAGAAUCAUUCACUAUUGAAGUUUUAUUCCGGAAGAAGCUACGCAUUUUACGCACUGCAUUGUUUUGGUAAACACGCAGAUUCAGCUGUUUAUAUAUCAAUCGGUAUGGCGACUAAAUCAGGGAAAGCUAAACCUAAGUCUAGAUAUACAGAUGUACACACAAUUUUAGAAGAAAUUGAUCGGAAAAGUAAUACAGAGAUUGUUGUAGAACGAUUCAUUUAGCGAUUCCCAAGUGGAGGAAUAUUUUUUGAAUGGAGAGGACACCGUUGGCAGCCACUGUGUAUAAUCUGUAACGGUGCCUGCAGAAGAGGAACAAUGUCACCGUUUUGGACUGUUACUGCCCAGAUCUUCCAGUCUGGACGACCAGACGAACAGCCUGGACGGUCGGGAACGGCGAUCCCCAUCCGGACAUCCGCUGCCAGCCAUGGAACGGACUUCUUCAUUUGCAGACACCCUACCCGGGUCGACCACCAGAGGGGGGGGACUGCAACAGCGACCACCAAAUGGACAUCUGCUGUCGGAUGUCCAAUUGAUGAGCGGACUUCAUUCGCAGAAACCCUCCCCGGGUCGACCACCAGAUAGGGACCACAACGAUGGUCCACAACCAGGACAACCCAUGGUCAUUUUUUAUGUUGGUUUGCAACAUGCAGGUUAAUCGCAAGAUUGAACCCAACAUGGGGGGACUGUCAUGACGUUGGCCUGGGGGUAGGUUUAUGACAGUCAUAAAUACCUCUUCCCCCCUUUUUCCUCUCUCUACCCUGCUGAUGUUACAUUUGCAAAACCCUUGGUUAACAUAGAGAUUUUGGGAACAUCAGAAGGUGGAGAGAAAAUUAACUAUAUUCUGGUAAUCCGACCAAUUGAACAUAUGCGGUGGUACUUAAUGAAUAUGAUGUCAGCUCGGUUGUCAUCUGAGACAUUCCCAUCAAUGAUAAGAUGACAUAAACUCUACAGUGGAAAGUCUACACAUCAGAGUUAUCGGAUUCACAUGGAAUUGUUGUUCAAUUUAAAUGUUUGAAUAUUAAAUUAUUCAUGAUGGGAUGAAAUGUGAUUUUAGCUUCUAAAAUGUGAGAUUUGGGUUUUCAUAAGAUAGGGCUCUGCUCAAUCAGUGGCCCGCCCCUGUGAAUGGACAUGGGCUAUACAACUUUUCAAACACGCUCUCCUCUCCCUUCCUAUAUAAAACCUUGACGACAAUGUAACCUCCUGUUCCGAGGACGUGAGGACAACGGUCCGAUGUCAGAAUGGUUCAGAUAAUAACUGCAGAACGAAGCUAACAUCAGCGUGAGCUUUGGUUGUGAAUGGUAUGAACUUUGAGCUCUUUUUCACUACAGAAGUGAGACCUCCUAGCCGUUAAGUUAGCAACAGCAGAUGCAAACGAGGGUUAGGAAGGAACAGACAGAGUAUCCAGACUAUCACACAACAACGUUAUUACAACGUAACCGAUUGACAACCAGAGACAUUCUUCAAAGGACUUGGUUGGGCAACACGGCCUUCCAUCUACCACCAACCUACUGAAGCGCAGCUCAGAGUAAAUAUUUAUUGCAUUUUCCUUUUCCAAAUGGACGGUAAUUUAGAAUGCAUAAGAUACUGCAUUUACGAUAGCACAGCUUCGCCCUUUGUUCCUCAGUCUUCCCGCUCUUUCACUCCAACCCAGCCCCUUUUCUUUUGUGUAACAUGCUGUCACAUCUGUUCCGCCCGCUAGGGACGUUUUCCUUUAUGGCGUAAUUUUUAAUCAAGUUAUGAUUUAAUUAUGUGUAUGUGUAAUUACGUGUGAUUAGUUAGGUAUUUAGUAAAUAAAUAAUUAAACCCAA